GGAGAGGGGAAAGAAGCCCAGCUAGGAGGAUGGAGAAAAGAGUGCCUGUAUUACUAUCCUUGCCAAAAGCAGCAGGACUGCAGAGGAGAAAGAAAAAGAAAAGCCACUGAAGCCAUGCCCCAGCAGUCACUGCUUCUUCAUUGCUGGGAAUGAAAAUAAGCCUCCUAUCUGGAGAGGAUGAUGAGGAUGAGUUUAUUCUCUUCCACCCACAAACAACUGAUCAGCAUUACUGAAGUGGACAGUACCAACACCUUCUUGGUAAAAUCUGCACUCCUGUUUCAAAGGAACCACAUGUGCAGGGCUAGAAACUGGAUGUGUCCAAAGAUUGAACAGAUGACACUCAUUUCUGUGUGCAGUUCCUAAUCU